UACGUAGGGUGCAAGCGUUAAUCGGAAUUACUGGGCGUAAAGCGUGCGCAGGCGGUUCGGAAAGAGAGGUGUGAAAUCCCAGGGCUUAACCUUGGAACUGCACUUCUAACUACCGGGCUAGAGUACGUCAGAGGGGGGUAGAAUUCCACGUGUAGCAGUGAAAUGCGUAGAGAUGUGGAGGAAUACCGAUGGCGAAGGCAGCCCCCUGGGAUGGUACUGACGCUCAUGCACGAAAGCGUGGGGAGCAAACAGG
rnacentral:rRNA from 1 species